rnacentral:rRNA from 1 species
UACGUAGGGUGCGAGCGUUAAUCGGAUUUACUGGGCUUAAAGCGUGCGCAGGCGGCCCGUUAAGACAGGUGUGAAAUCCCUGGGCUCAACCUAGGAAUUGCGCUUGUGACUGGCGGGCUCGAGUACGGUAGAGGGGGGUGGAAUUCCUGGUGUAGCAGUGAAAUGCGUAGAGAUCAGGAGGAACACCGAUGGCGAAGGCAGCCCCCUGGGCCUGUACUGACGCUCAUGCACGAAAGCGUGGGGAGCAAACAGG